UAGUGGAUGGCGUAUCUGUAUAUGGGGUUGGACCAUGGACUAAGUUGAAGAAUGAAAGGUUUCCAAUAUCAAUUCGAACAGCGGUGCAUCUUAAGGUAUAGUCAAUUGGUGAUUAAUUGCACUAAAGCACAAGCAUUACAUGCUCUCUCUGCUCAGUGGUUUUUUGUAUUUCACACUUUCUCUGUUCAUCUUUUAUUUAUCUAUAUAUAUUUUAUUGUAAAAGAUGCUAAUUUUUAUGUUUUGUUUAAUCUUUCAGGAUAAGUGGAGAAACCUAGUGAAAGCCUUCACGGUCAGGCCCACAUCUAAAAAUAAGAUUUUAUAUCAUAACUUUAUCAAACUCAUCAUGGAGCAGCACUGAUUUUUUCAUCUCUUGCAUUUCUUGAAUUCCAGGGAAAUGUGAAAAGAAGGAUCUCGCCUCGUCUAGAUAAGGAUUGCGUCGAAAAGAUCAAGAGGCUAGCAGCUGAUUACCCUCGAAAAUGAAGUAGCACUCGUGAAUGCU
rnacentral:lncRNA from 1 species